rnacentral:miRNA from 1 species
GAGCGUGUGUGUGUGUGUGUGUGUGUGUGUGUGCGCGCAAGCACCACCCUAA